ensembl:lncRNA
AGCAUUUACAAAUCUUAUUAUUCAACAAUAUUCACAUUACAACAUCAACACUGCUCUGCUAGUGACAGGUUCUAAUAAUCCCAAUAUAUUGUAUAGUUACUUUGUAAUACAUUAUCGAGAGGCACUUCCAGUAAGUCUGGUAAUAGAGGAGCUACAGUAUUGUGUCUAAAUUACAAAACAGUAAAAAAUAUUUUUUCUAAAAGUUUUUUUUGUCAUAAUAUACUUUUGAAUCUGUACAGUAUAUAUCUUUUAUACAAAGUCAAACAAUAUCUAGAAAUAAAAUUUCAUAUUCCACUUAAACAAAUACUGGUGAAUCACACAAUUUCCCCAUCCUGUAGGUAUUGCUAAAUGUGUUAAGUGCAAGAUAUUGGAGAGAAGAAAAGAAUUGAGUCUGUGAAGCGGCUGCUAUAAUAGAUUUUAAAAAAAACAUCUUGUUUGUCUUGCUUUAAAGGUGGUGAACAAAAAGUUUGUUUUGGUUUCCUUUGUGACAAACAAGCAAAGCUGAGAAUAUAGCAUUCAGACAAUGUAUACAUACAUAAAUGUGACAAUGGUAUGGCACAGCAGCCUGACCCCGUUGACAAAAUGGCUGAAACAACAAACAAUACAAAAAAGAAAUGUUUUUGGUUCAAACCAUCAAAAAGAAAGUACAUGGGCGUCAGUCUGAGAACAGAACAGUUGGUCAGUUACAUUGUAGUGCUACUGGUGCCUAUUGACAUGGCAGUGAAAGAAGAACAAGCUGCAAGGACAACACCUGUCUGUUACAUGAACACUGAAAACUCUUAAAUUGCUUUAAUCUGUCUUAUUUUCACAUGAGAGCAAAAUAUAUGCAUAUCCAGAUAUCCUCACCAGGCUGUGAGUAACACUGACAAAAUAAAACAUGCUCCUUUUAGGGCUUGUUUUGUGCAAAUCACAAAAAACCACAAUGUUCAAAAAGUUUCUUUGGUUUGCACAAGUUCAUCCAGUGUGCAGCAAUCCCCUUCUUCUCGUCAGUUAAAAGAAACCACUCGUACUGGCUUUAAUGAUCUGAAAUAGUUUGGUUGCAGACUCUGCACUUGUGUUGUUUUCUAGCGGAGUUUUUGUAAGAACAAUUUGUAAAUCAAGAGAAAGCGGAAUUGUGAAUGCGCUGGUACAAACCACUGGCUAGUGUCAUCAUGAUGACCGAGACCAAAGAAGCCAACGAAUGACAUGAACUUUUAUCUUGUGGCGGACAAGAAACUUUAAUCUAUGGCAUUUAGAGUGGAAAAAGAACCUAUGGGACUAUAACAGUAGUUUUCCAUGUUUUGGCCCAUUUAAGACAAAGUAAUUACUGUAUAUUGUAUACUUUACAUCACAAAUAAUUGUCUUGCAAAAUAAUGUAGCUUUAUUUUAGAAAUCUGGGUGUAUUUUGUAUUUAAUUCCUGGCACCCAGUGGUUUCCAUUUAUUUACACGCAACUUUUUUUCCAAGUACGUCAUCCAUCCCAGUGAACAUUACAUCUGCAUUAAGUGUAGCCUUCAAAUCAGUCUACAAUUGUAACUACAUUAUGGAUGCAACAAGAAUAAAACAUUGGAAAAACUAUGCAGAUUUGUUGUUGACUUGGAUACAUUGCUAAUAAAUAUUCAUACUGUGCAGAAAUAAAAAGAAACCAAGUAGGAAAAUACUCCUAAAACUGAAUUUAACAAAUGUUUAGCAACUAUGCUAAUAAUACCGAUUUUAAUUAAAAAGCUGAAAUAAAGAACACAAAACUACUUGAUAACUGUAAAAAGACUUGAAACCUGUUCCUAAAAAACUGAGUGACCAAUUGAACACUCCCCUCCAAGCUACUGAAAACUCCCUAGAAGGCUGGACACUAACACUUCCUACUGUUUUGGAUUGUUUGCGAUGAGAAUAGAAACUAAGAAUUCUAUCACAGCUUUGAUUAAUUCAAGUCUCUUUGAUUGCUGCACUGUAGUGUACACAGUGAGGCAGGGCUGAGAGAGGAGGGAAGCGUCUGUUUUGACUGACUUGAUCCCUAGUGAGCUUUGAAUUCUCAGAUCGCACAGGCCAAAAAAAGGGGAAAAAAAGUGAUGGGUGUCUGAAAAAAUCUACAAAUCCCCAAACACAGAGGUGGAACAUGGGAUAGUACAAGUGUGAGACACAAAAAGUCCAUUGUAAUAGUAUGCACAUUAGAUUGUAAGUGAGGUAUUGAUAUACUGUAUAGUGCGUAGGAUAUUUACAGUGCAUGGAGCUCAAGCUCAUUCAUGUGUCUUCAAAUUCCUGCUGUUUACAUGAGGCAGGAAGCUUGAAGAGCUUUCUUUUUCAGUCACGUGGUUAUUUGUAGAAUAACUCGAUUUCAAAACUUCCUUUCUGUACAGAGGUUCAAAAAUGCUGUACUUAAAGACCCCAGUCGGUGCCUUGACCCACAGCUGUGUAGAUCAGUCAUGUAUCAGCUGGUGUUUACAGAUCAUUAUGCAGGCUUAUCAUCAAACGCCAACGCAAGAAGAAGCUACUGGAAGACGAUUUGUCGAGGAGGGAACCUGUAAAUUCAGACAUGUCCUGCUGCAUAUGCUACAAAUAGACUGCUGCCAUUUGUGCUGGCAGGUAAGACACGUAGUUUCAGGGGUCAGAUGUCAUUCUGCCUUUUCUUUUUUUCUCUCUCUGUUGCCAAGCAACAUUAGCCCUCCUUAUUAUGGACCAUUUGUGACAUUAAAGUGGACAACAGAUGUUCAGAGUUCUCAACUUGAAUUGAGACAGACUUUGGUUAAUGCAGGCUUCCUUUUUCAUAAGAUUAAAAACAAGCUGCGCUCUAUUUGUAAGUACAGGGAAUAAGCAAUCAAGCGCAUUACGCUGCACAGUUUAGCCCUCAUUUACACAAUGGGCAUUUUGAUAACAGUGCAAUGGAUACAGCUGAGGAUUUAGACAGUAUUAGGGCAAGUUCAGCCAGUAAAAAUACAAAAAACAAGUCUAUUUAAUAGUUGCUUAGUCAGUUUUCAUCCAGCGUAUGCGAAUAAUGGGCUGUUUGCAUAAAGUGUAUCCCCAGUAAAUACUUGUAUUUCUGUCUGAUGUUCUUAUUUGGUGCUAUUUUAAAAUUUAAGUGUGGCUGUUUCAAUUUUAGAAUGCCUUUCCUGGCCAUGUUUUUAUACAUAUGUGAGUUAGUCUAAUCAAUCCUCACCCACUUCAAAUAAUCAGUACUUAUGGACAUUUUGUGCCAUCUCUGUAUGCCCCUUAGCAUAUUUGAAGUAUUUGCAACUACAGAGUUAAAGUUUCUUACCUUCUAGAUAGAGCUGAAUCAGAAUGGUUGUUUGAGUGCCUUUUCUAUCAAUACCACUGCAUAUAUAACCACACUCUACUUUGAUUUCCCGACUGUAAGUCUACCUCAUCUCUUGAUCCAGCCUCUAGUCUCUGGCACUUUCUCCAAAAAGUGCUGUCAAUGUCCAAGAAAGGGUUUCAGUUUUAUUAAAAUAUGCCUUUCUUCACUUGGCAAAUCUGAUGAAAAGUACCUGUUACAAUAAGUAAGUGAAGACACUGAAUAACCUUCAAUCUCUGGAUCUAAGUCUAAAAAGGCCCCCUGUUGCUUUUCUGAUGUCAGAUCAAAUACACUGUACUGCAUAUCCCUGUAAUACAUUUAGCAAACUUGGAAACAUAGAUCAUCACAUGGUUCAGAAUCCGACCAGGCUGGCUCAUCUUCAAAGAGUUACAACUGGAAGACUUUGCUGAAAAGAUCUGACACCCCUCUGACCCUUUAUAAGCGCCUUCCUCUUUCAUUACUAAGCCUCAUUACUGAGGCUGUUCUCCUUGCUCACACUUUCCUCCAUCACCACCAAUAUGAAUCUCUGCGGACAUCAAAGGAGAUCUGCUAAGCCAUAUGCAAUGUCAAGGAUUACAAAUGGAGAAAAAAAAAUCUUGAGUCUGCUGGCCUGUCAUAGGAAAUUCUUUCUUGUAACUUUCACCUAUUCUGUUGCACUGUAUUGAAACAAAGUGUAGAAUGUUGACAUUAUCUUGAGUGACACUUUUUGUUGAUGCAUUUCUCUGCUUAUUUGUGGUGUUUAAUGCUUAAAUCACUCAUUCUACCUUUUCUAUUUGAUAUCAUUGAAGACUGACAACAUAAAUUGCCCAAACAGUAUCAUAGGAGAUUGCAGACAGCAGCAUUAGCGACUCUGAAAGCUGCACUCCAUUAAUUCAGAAGUUUGCUUUCACUUAAUUUAACAUAUGUUCAUUUACAUUAUACAUUUAUGCAGCUGUGGCUCCUUUUCUGUGUUUUUAAAGUAAGCAGUGUUCCAUGACUCAGACAUGGUUAGCCUUAUUGAUUCCAUAUUACUAUCUUUGCCUGAUUUCUCUGACUGAAACUUCCACAUAGUUUCAUGUGGGUAUGCAGCACCUCCUGGAUGGCAGCAGCCUUCACAGGGUAGUAAUGUCUCAUUAACGUAAAUCUUCUUGGGUGUUUUGGAGCCGUGACUCAGCUCUGGCCAGGUUCAGUAUGGCUUACUGGAUUACUUUACUCUCUGAAACAUUUGGCCUACAUACCAGCCUAUAAAUUAUUUUGGAAUGAGAAAAGUCCUGUCAUUAGCGACUGUGUUUACCGUGACAUGAACACAAAAUGUGGACACAAAUGAUAUUUACUCAACAAAACACAUUACCAGAUUGACUGUGUUCAUUUUGUCAUCUUUUCAUUAGGUUAGCGUUUUCUUUUCAUCCAACAACUUUGUAAGAAUUAUUAAGGAUGUUUUUGCCUUCACAUGUUUCGACUGCGUCUACAGUC